rnacentral:rRNA from 1 species
UCCGCCUGGGGACUACGGUCGCAAGACUAAAACUCAAAGGAAUUGACGGGGACCCGCACAAGCGGUGGAGCAUGUGGUUUAAUUCGAUGCAACGCGAAAAACCUUACCACUCCUUGACAUGGAGAUUAGAUCCUUCUUAACAGAAGGGCGCAGUUCGGCUGGAUCUCGCACAGGUGCUGCAUGGCUGUCGUCAGCUCGUGUCGUGAGAUGUUGGGUUAAGUCCCGCAACGAGCGUAACCCUCAUCCUUAGUUGCCAGCGGGUAAGCCGGGCACUUUAAGGAAACUGCCGGUGGUAAACCGGAGGAAGGUGGGGAUGAUGUCAAGUCAGCACGGCCCUUAUGGGGUGGGCUACACACGUGCUACAAUGGUGACUACAAUAGGUUGCAAUGUCGCAAGGCUGAGCUAAUCCGUAAAAGUCAUCUCAGUUCGGAUUGUCCUCUGCAACUCGAGGGCAUGAAGUCGGAAUCGCUAGUAAUCGUGGAUCAGCAUGCCACGGUGAAUACGUUCUCGGGUCUUGUACACACUGCCCGUCACGCCAUGGGAAUUGGCUUAACUCGAAGCUGGUGCGCUAACCGAAAGGAAGCCAGCCAUAA